UACAGAGGUCUCAAGCGUUGUUCGGAUUCAUUGGGCGUAAAGGGUGCGUAGGCGGCGCGGUAAGUCGGGUGUGAAAUCUCGGAGCUUAACUCCGAAAUUGCAUUCGAUACUGCCGUGCUCGAGGACUGGAGAGGAGACUGGAAUUCAUGGUGUAGCAGUGAAAUGCGUAGAGAUCAUGAGGAAGACCAGUGGCGAAGGCGGGUCUCUGGACAGUACCUGACACUGGGGCACGAAGGCCAGGGGAGCAAACGGG
rnacentral:rRNA from 1 species